rnacentral:lncRNA from 1 species
CCGGUCUGAUUUACCAGUAGAGAUUCUAUGCGAAAAAACAUUAAGUUGAAUAAACUCUGCAUGAUGGCUUAGAUGAAAUGCCAGAAAGAUAUUACUGCACAAAGCAUGAUCAGGUUCUGUAAAGGCUUGGUUUUAUAAGCAACAUAUACAGCUCCAUAAAACAAUGUCAACUCAGACUCUCAACACAGAGUAACCAACGAUUAGAGCUGGAAAAUUGUCAAUGUAUGAGAAAGGGUGACUGGGUUAUAAGCAACAGAAGGCCAUUCAAUAGCUAAUGGCCUGGCCAAAAAAGGGCCACAAACCAUAUGACUAGGCAGUGCAAAGGACCAGUUCGCAGCACUUCCAACUCUAGGCAUGUUGGACUC